CUACGGGCGGCUCCAGUGAGGAAUAUUGCACAAUGGGGGGAACCCUGAUGCAGCAACGCCGCGUGGAGGAUGACGCAUUUCGGUGUGUAAACUCCUUUUAUAUGUCAAGAAAAUGACGGUAGCAUAUGAAUAAGCACCUGCUAACUCCGUGCCAGCAGCCGCGGUCAUACGGAGGGUGCAGAGCGUUACUCGGAAUCACUGGGCGUAAAGGACGCGUAGGCGGGUUGGAAAGUCAGGUGUGAAAUCCUACAGCUUAACUGUAGAACUGCACUUGAAACUUCUAAUCUAGAGUAUGGGAGGGGGAGAUGGAAUUAGUGGUGUAGGGGUAAAAUCCGUAGAUAUCACUAGGAAUACCUAAAGCGAAGGCGAUCUCCUGGAACAUUACUGACGCUAAGGCGUGAAAGCGUGGGGAGCAAACAGGAUUAGAUACCCCCGUAGUC
rnacentral:rRNA from 1 species